rnacentral:rRNA from 1 species
AUUGAACGCUGGCGGCAGGCCUAACACAUGCAAGUCGAACGGUAACAGGAAGCAGCUUGCUGCUUUGCUGACGAGUGGCGGACGGGUGAGUAAUGUCUGGGAAACUGCCUGAUGGAGGGGGAUAACUACUGGAAACGGUAGCUAAUACCGCAUAACGUCGCAAGACCAAAGAGGGGGACCUUAGGGCCUCUUGCCAUCGGAUGUGCCCAGAUGGGAUUAGCUAGUAGGUGGGGUAACGGCUCACCUAGGCGACGAUCCCUAGCUGGUCUGAGAGGAUGACCAGCCACACUGGAACUGAGACACGGUCCAGACUCCUACGGGAGGCAGCAGUGUGGAAUAUUGCACAAUGGGCGCAAGCCUGAUGCAGCCAUGCCGCGUGUAUGAAGAAGGCCUUCGGGUUGUAAAGUACUUUCAGCGGGGAGGAAGGGAGUAAAGUUAAUACCUUUGCUCAUUGACGUUACCCGCAGAAGAAGCACCGGCUAACUCCGUG